rnacentral:rRNA from 1 species
GAUUGAACGCUGGCGGCAGGCUUAACACAUGCAAGUCGAGCGGGGGAGRUUGCUUCGGUAAYUGACCUAGCGGCGGACGGGUGAGUAAUACUUAGGAAUCUGCCUAUUAAUGGGGGACAACAUCUCGAAAGGGAUGCUAAUACCGCAUACGCCCUACGGGGGAAAGCAGGGGAUCACUUGUGACCUUGCGUUAAUAGAUGAGCCUAAGUCGGAUUAGCUAGUUGGUGGGGUAAAGGCCUACCAAGGCGACGAUCUGUAGCGGGUCUGAGAGGAUGAUCCGCCACACUGGGACUGAGACACGGCCCAGACUCCUACGGGAGGCAGCAGUGGGGAAUAUUGGACAAUGGGGGGAACCCUGAUCCAGCCAUGCCGCGUGUGUGAAGAAGGCCUUAUGGUUGUAAAGCACUUUAAGCGAGGAGGAGGCUCYUSUAGUUAAUACCUASRRWGAGUGGACGUUACUCGCAGAAUAAGCACCGGCUAACUCU